rnacentral:rRNA from 1 species
AUUGAACGCUGGCGGCAUGCCUUACACAUGCAAGUCGAACGGCAGCGCGGGUGCUUGCACCUGGCGGCGAGUGGCGAACGGGUGAGUAAUACAUCGGAACGUGCCCUAGAGUGGGGGAGAACUAGUCGAGAGAUUAGCUAAUACCGCAUACGAUCUACGGAUGAAAGAGGGGGACCGCAAGGCCCCCUGCGCCUGGAGCGGCCGAUGUCGGAUUAGCUAGUUGGUGGGGUAAAGGCCUACCAAGGCGACGAUCAGUAGCUGGUCUGAGAGGACGACCAGCCACACUGGGACUGAGACACGGCCCAGACUCCUACGGGAGGCAGCAGUGGGGAAUUUUGGACAAUGGGGGCAACCCUGAUCCAGCAAUGCCGCGUGUGUGAAGAAGGCCUUCGGGUUGUAAAGCACUUUUGUCAGGAACGAAACGGUGGGGGCUAAUACCUCCUGCUAAUGACGGUACCUGAAGAAUAAGCACCGGCUAACUACGUGCCAGCAGCCGCCGUAA